UGAAGAGUUUGAUCAUGGCUCAGAUUGAACGCUGGCGGCAGGCCUAACACAUGCAAGUCGAACGGUAACAGGAAGCAGCUUGCUGCUUCGCUGACGAGUGGCGGACGGGUGAGUAAUGUCUGGGAAACUGCCUGAUGGAGGGGGAUAACUACUGGAAACGGUGGCUAAUACCGCAUAACGUCGCAAGACCAAAGAGGGGACCUUCGGGCCUCUUGCCAUCAGAUGUGCCCAGAUGGGAUUAGCUUGUUGGUGAGGUAACGGC
rnacentral:rRNA from 1 species